CCUACGGGGGGCAGCAGUGGGGAAUAUUGCACAAUGGGCGCAAGCCUGAUGGAGCAACGCCGCGUGAGCGAAGAAGGUCUUCGGAUCGUAAAGCUCUGUUGUCGGGGAAGAACAAGUACGGCAGGAAAUGGUCGUACCGUGACGGUACCCGACGAGAAAGCCACGGCUAACUACGUGCCAGCAGCCGCGGUAAUACGUAGGUGGCAAGCGUUGUCCGGAAUUAUUGGGCGUAAAGCGCGCGCAGGCGGUCCUUUAAGUCUGAUGUGAAAUCUUGCGGCUCAACCGCAUGCGGUCAUUGGAAACUGGGAGACUUGAGUGCAGAAGAGGAAAGCGGAAUUCCACGUGUAGCGGUGAAAUGCGUAGAUAUUAGGAGGAACACCAGUGGCGAAGGCGGCUCUCUGGACUGCAACUGACGCUGAGGCACGAAAGCGUGGGGAGCGAACAGGAUUAGAUACCCCAGUAGUC
rnacentral:rRNA from 1 species